GACGAACGCUGGCGGCGUGCUUAACACAUGCAAGUCGAACGAAGUGGCGAACGGGUGAGUAACGCGUAAUCAACCUGGCCUUCAGAGGGGGACAACAGUUGGAAACGACUGCUAAUACCGCAUACUGAAGGAGGGGCUUGCGUCUGGUUAGCUAGUUGGCGGGGUAACGGCCCACCAAGGCGAUGAUCAGUAGCCUGUCUGAGCGGGUGAACGGCCACAUUGGGAAUGGGACACGGCCCAGACUCCUACGGGGGGCAGCAUGUGGGAAACUUCCGCAAUGGACGAAAGUCUGACGGAGCAACGCCGCGUGGGUGAUGACGGCCUUCGGGUUGUAAAGCUCUGUUAAUCGGGACGCGGUACCGGAAUAGAAAGCCACGGCUAACUACGUGCCAGCAGCCGCGGUAAUUC
rnacentral:rRNA from 1 species